rnacentral:rRNA from 1 species
UGCUUUGUACGGAACGAAAGGGUUCGGGCUAAUACCCUGAAGUCAUGACGGUACCGUAAGAAUAAGCACCGGCUAACUACGUGCCAGCAGCCGCGGUAAUACUUAUGGUGCUAGCGUUAAUCGGAAUUACUGGGCGUAAAGCGUGCGCAGGCGGUUUUGUAAGACAGUGGUGAAAUCCCCGGGCUCAACCUGGGAACUGCCAUUGUGACUGCAAGGCUGGAGUGCGGCAGAGGGGGAUGGAAUUCCGCGUGUAGCAGUGAAAUGCGUAAAUAUGCGGAGGAACACCGAUGGCGAAGGCAAUCCCCUGGGCCUGCACUGACGCUCAUGCACGAAAGCGUGGGGAGCAAACAGGAUUAGAUACCCUGGUAGUCCACGCCCUAAACGAUGUCAACUGGUUGUUGGGGAUUUAUUUUCUCAGUAACGAAGCUAACGCGUGAAGUUGACCGCCUGGGGAGUACGGCCGCAAGGUUAAAACUCAAAG